CAAUAGCGUAUAUUAAAGUUGUUGCAGUUAAAAAGCUCGUAGUUGGAUUUCUGGUUGAAGCGACCGGUCGGGCGUUGAUUCGUCUGCACUGGAGUCGGUUUUGGCCAUCCUCUAGGAAAGUGCGUCUGGUAUUAAGUUAUCGGGCGUAUGAUCCUGGUCUUUUACUGUGAAAAAAUUAGAGUGUUUAAAGCAGGCCUUCGCCUUGAAUACAUUAGCAUGGAAUAAUAAGAUAGGACUUUGGUCUAUUUUGUUGGUUUGCAGACCGAAGUAAUGAUUAAUAGGGAUAGUUGGGGGUAUUCAUAUUCAAUUGUCAGAGGUGAAAUUCUUGGAUUUAUGGAAGAUGAACUACUGCGAAAGCAUUUACCAAGGAUGUUUUCAUUAA
rnacentral:rRNA from 1 species